UACGUAGGGGGCGAGCGUUGUCCGGAAUGACUGGGCGUAAAGGGUGUGUAGGCGGUUUGAUAAGUUAGAAGUGUAAUACCCAGGGCUUAACUCGGGUGCUGCUUCUAAAACUAUUAGACUUGAGUGCAGGAGAGGAUAGUGGAAUUCCUAGUGUAGCGGUGGAAUGCGUAGAUAUUAGGAGGAACAUCAGUGGCGAAGGCGACUAUCUGGACUGUAACUGACGCUGAGGCACGAAAGCGUGGGGAGCGAACAGG
rnacentral:rRNA from 1 species